UAAGGGAGGACCUAGAUGAAGUAGCGCAUAAAUUCCAGAGAUGUUUUAAAAAUAAAUAAGAUGCAAUCAAGGCUAAAUCAAAAGUCAGCGCAAAUGGGGAGGGACCUAACGAAAAAAUUCCCCUUUUGGUUUAUGCAUAAAAGAAAACUCCCCCUCCCCAAAAUUAUCUGUCGCGAAUCAAAAGGGAAAAAAAAAGGUUUUCUCCCUUUCUACUCUGCUACCCCUUCUACUUUGCUAGGGCACAAAUGGAUCGGCCCCCCUGCUGCUAAUCCGCCUCGAUCUGGUCGGAGGAGCCACAACUAGACGUAAAGGAGGAGUGCACGGACGUGGGACAUGCAACGUGCGAGCCAGGGGUCGUGCACGGGGCAUGCGUGGAGGUGGAGGAGGGGCUGGCCAAAGGAAGGACCUAAGUGUUAGGGUUUGCUGCUUCUGAAAAAAAAAUUGGGCCAUUGAGCUUUGUGUAAUUGGGCCAAAAUUGUGUUUUGGGACAACAUUUGGGCUUUAAAAAAUUUUGUAUUGGACCAUGUUACUAUUUGUUUUUUGUUUGUUUUGUAUGUGUAUGGGCCCAGGCUAAAAUUGAGUCUUACAAAUGGCACAUGAUAUAUUAUAAAAAUAUAUUGACAA